rnacentral:misc_RNA from 1 species
AAUAAGUGUUUUAUGGCACUUUUUCAAUCCAUAUCCACCUUGUGUGCAAUGUUGUCUUGUAGUGCGAAUGCUUGUCAUUUGCGCUACAGGAUGUAAACAUCAACUCUUAUCUUUAACAACUUUGUCUAAAACCUGUAUGAAUACUUAAUUCAAAUACAACUUUCAACAACGGAUCUCUUGGCUCU